rnacentral:rRNA from 1 species
AACGAACGCUGGCGGCAUGCCUAACACAUGCAAGUCGAACGAGACCUUCGGGUCUAUUGGCGCACGGGUGCGUAACGCGUGGGAACCUGCCCUUAGGUUCGGAAUAACUCCCCGAAAGGGGUGCUAAUACCGGAUAAUGUCUUCGGACCAAAGAUUUAUCGCCUUUGGAUGGGCCCGCGUUGGAUUAGCUAGUUGGUAGGGUAAAAGCCUACCAAGGCGACGAUCCAUAGCUGGUCUGAGAGGAUGAUCAGCCACACUGGGACUGAGACACGGCCCAGACUCCUACGGGAGGCAGCAGUGGGGAAUAUUGGACAAUGGGCGAAAGCCUGAUCCAGCAAGGCCGCGUGAGUGAUGAAGGCCUUAGGGUUGUAAAGCUCUUUUACCCGGGAUGAUAAUGACAGUACCGGGAGAAUAAGCUCCGGCUAACUCCGUG